rnacentral:rRNA from 1 species
UACGUAGGGUGCGAGCGUUGUCCGGAAUUAUUGGGCGUAAAGAGCUUGUAGGCGGUUUGUCGCGUCUGCCGUGAAAAUCCGGGGCUCAACCCCAGACUUGCGGUGGGUACGGGCAGACUAGAGUGUGGUAGGGGAGACUGGAAUUCCUGGUGUAGCGGUGAAAUGCGCAGAUAUCAGGAGGAACACCUGCGGCGAAGGCGGGUUGCUGGGCUGACACUGACGCUGACAGCGCGAAAGCUAGGGGAGCGAACGGG